UACGAAGGGGACUAGCGUUGUUCGGAAUUACUGGGCGUAAAGCGCACGUAGGCGGAUUUGUAAGUCAGGGGUGAAAUCCCGGGGCUCAACCUCGGAACUGCCUUUGAUACUGCAAAUCUCGAGUCCGAUAGAGGUGGGUGGAAUUCCUAGUGUAGAGGUGAAAUUCGUAGAUAUUAGGAAGAACACCGGUGGCGAAGGCGGCCCACUGGAUCGGUACUGACACUGAGGUGCGAAAGCGUGGGGAGCAAACAGG
rnacentral:rRNA from 1 species